rnacentral:rRNA from 1 species
GACGGAUACUGCGGAUUGGGCCGUGGAAGCGCAGCGACUCGGUGACUCGCAACAAGAAUCGCAGGCUCUCUUGGAUGGAUCGGACUUUCAAGGGGAACCGCGAGCAAUUUGUCAGCGAGCAUG